GUGUCAGCCGCCGCGGUAAUACGUAGGGUGCAAGCGUUAAUCGGAAUUACUGGGCGUAAAGCGUGCGCAGGCGGUUCGGAAAGAAAGAUGUGAAAUCCCAGGGCUUAACCUUGGAACUGCAUUUUUAACUACCGGGCUAGAGUGUGUCAGAGGGAGGUGGAAUUCCGCGCGUAGCUGUGAAAUGCGUAGAUAUGCGGAGGAACCCCGAUGGCGCAGGCAGCCUCCUGGGAUAAAACUGCC
rnacentral:rRNA from 1 species